rnacentral:rRNA from 1 species
GCACAGAGUUAGCCGUCCCUUCCUCUUCUGCUACUUUCAGUCUGGAGUCUAUUAAACUCCAGAGUUUAGUCGCAAAUGACAGGGGUUUACGGGCCGAAGCCAUUCAUCCCCCACGCGGCGUCGCUCCAUCAGGCUUUCGCCCAUUGUGAAAAAUUCUCGA